GACGUAGGGUGCAAGCGUUGUCCGGAAUUAUUGGGCGUAAAGAGCUCGUAGGCGGUUUGUCGCGUCGGCUGUGAAAGCCCGGAGCUCAACUCCGGGUCUGCAGUCGAUACGGGGCAGACUUGAGUGUUGCAGGGGAGACUGGAAUUCCUGGUGUAGCGGUGAAAUGCGCAGAUAUCAGGAGGAACACCGGUGGCGAAGGCGGGUCUCGUGGGCAACAACGUGACGCUGAGGAGCGAAAGCGUGGGGAGCGAA
rnacentral:rRNA from 1 species